AAAUCUUUCAAUGGAUCAAAAGGAAAAGAUGAAAAUUGUUCCGAAAAGAAAUUAUUGCAGCAGUAUAUGGAGCCCUGAUUUACCACAUAUGGCAGGCUAGAAAUAGGAAGAUAUUUCAACAAGUGAAUACUAAUGCGGAAGUUGUUACUAUGCAGAUACAACACGAAGUCAGGGAGAGAAUAGAGAUACUUAGAGGCUCAAAGAGAG
rnacentral:lncRNA from 1 species